rnacentral:tRNA from 1 species
GGCAGGAUGGCCGAGUGGUCUAAGGCGCCGCGUUCAGGUCGCGGUCCGAAAGGGCGUGGGUUCGAACCCCACUCCUGUCA